AAGUAUGCUGUUUCAAUUUGAUCUGCUAUUUCGGGUGAUCUAGUCCCUGUUAGUUCUUGACAGUCCAGGAGGCGCCUGGUGCAUCCCACGGACUCAUUUAAAUGUUCCCUGAGUGCUUCGUCUGUGCCGCACGUUGCUCUGCGUGGUGGAGAUAAAUGAGGAGUAGAAGCUGCGCCUGGCCUGAAGGCACCCCAGGUCACUCUUGGGGAAACACAGUGCCCAUCGCUGAUGCUCACCAAGGUUCCGGUCCUGCGGACAAGCCCCUGCCAUGCACCUGAUCGUGGAUCUGGCCUCUGUGACCGGCUCUGGAAGUUCCCAUGAAUGGACUCUUCCUCGCCUUCUUGCCCUGCCUCUGUGUCUCGUGUCCUUAUAAGAACACCAGUCACUGGAUUCCAGGCUGACCCUCAUCCAGCUCAACCUCAUCUCCACUCUCAACUAUCUGCAGAGACCUGUUUCCACACAAGCUCACAUCACGAGGCUCUGGGGGGACGUGGAUUUUGGAGGAACACCUCUCAGCCCACUACAGAGCCUUUUACUACCAUCAAUCAAAUGAAUUUUUCAAAGGCACGUCUGUUAUACAUUUUUUUUUCAGUGAGCUUUUUCUGAGAACUUUUUGGGUUCAAAGCACCCAGAUGGUAUAAAUGACGUGGAAAAUGGCCCUCCCAAAAAGAUGCCAUGAGGGAGCUGCACAUGGGGCUGGGGGGAGUCGGAGACAGCACGUGUGAGCGGACGUGUGGCCGGCACCCAAACCAGACGCCAUGUGAUUACAGAUCCUGCAGGGAAUUACAGGAGGCAACUCAACGUAGGAGAUUGGUGUCAUACUAACAGAAAACCAAGACUGAAGAGACAGGAACGACUGUCCGGGUUUCCCAGACAGGACCGUCCCAGGAAGCAGACAACACAGGCCUGCGUGCGGCCCUGGCCUUGAGUGUGCUGGACGCAGGGGACCGUCCCAGGAAGCGGACAACACAGCCCUGCGUGCGGCCCUGGCCGUGAGUGUGCUGGACGCAGGGGACCGUCCCAGGAAGCGGACAACACAGCCCUGCGUGCGGCCCUGGCCGUGAGUGUGCUGGACGCAGGGGACCGUCCCAGGAAGCGGACAACACAGGCCUGCGUGCGGCCCUGGCCGUGAGUGUGCUGGACGCAGGGGACCGUCCCAGGAAGCGGACAACACAGGCCUGCGUGCGGCCCUGGCCGUGAGUGUGCUGGACGCAGGGGACCGUCCCAGGAAGCGGACAACACAGGCCUGCGUGCGGCCCUGGCCGUGAGUGUGCUGGACGCAGGGGACCGUCCCAGGAAGCGGACAACACAGGCCUGCGUGCGGCCCUGGCCGUGAGUGUGCUGGACGCAGGGGACCGUCCCAGGAAGCGGACAACACAGGCCUGCGUGCGGCCCUGGCCGUGAGUGUGCUGGACGCAGGGUACCGUCCCAGGAAGCGGACAACACAGCCCUGCGUGCGGCCCUGCCGUGAGUCUCCACCUUUCUGUCUCUCUGGGCUGUGGCUGGGCAGCACGGAAGGGGGGAAUCACCUACCUUUUGGUCCAG
rnacentral:lncRNA from 1 species